rnacentral:lncRNA from 1 species
CGUUUCCUCUUUUUGGUUACAGGUCGUCAGCAGCAUCGAAGGACUUACUUUCGCCGCUUCCUCUGUUGUUUGUCCUUAUUUCGGCCUUCGGAAGUCCCGAAUUUGUCGUCGCUGCGCCACUGCCUUCUCCGUCAUCCUUCGUUUCUCUUUGAUUGCUUGUUUCUUUGCAGUCUUCUAGAAGUUCAGAGAGAGCAGGUAGGGGAGGCAGUGACGGAAGGCGGCGGUUUCCGUCUUUUUCUUCCAGAUCGUUUGCUUUUGGAUGCGCCUUCGUUCGUUCUGCGUUGUCUAUUUUCGUCUCUCUGACAUCUGGCUCGUCUUGCCGUGCCUCAGUCCCUUUUCGGUCAUAUCCUCUGCUGUUGUUUUUUGCGAAAGCCGAUCGACGGACGGAAACUGGGGGAAUCUGAAGAUGUGGUAACUGACGCUUUGCGCAGCCUAAAUCCAGGACAAGCAACCACCGGUAUCGGCCUAAAGGGACAACUUGUCGACAUGCAGACAGAACUCCGCUGGAAAAAUACAGCAGGGACAAAAACAAAAGACAAGAGAAAGGUUUCGGCGAAACUGCUUUACAGAAAGCAGUGAAGAGUCGAGAUAGAUUAGAGGGCUCACAAGCGAAACAGAAGGGCAAAAACAUAAGGUAGUUUGCCAGCGGAACCUGUCGCAUAAUCCACGGAUACGAAAAACGAUGCGAUAGAAAGAGAGGAAAGACGCUUUCUGAAGACGCUAAACGCGGACGUGGUUGUGGUGGUUGUGCUCUACUGUCCGGACGGUGUCUCGUUCAAGAUUUUCCAGUCGAUGAAACCCAUAUCUUUGCACAGGCGACUCACGGACGACACUCGUGAACUGUCGAGAAAACCGGUAGUCUAGGGUGUGACGAAAACGUCGAUUAGGCCGGUUUCACGAUUGUCUGUUCGAUUAAAGAUACUUAAUCGCUGUAGCACGCACCUUGUCAUAUACCAGUAGUCGGAGGGUGAUUCGCUGCACCCGCCGUGGGGAUAGUUACACACAAAUUCCUUAUCCACGACAAUUAGCGGAUUUCCGUUGUCGCCUUGAGAAUCCUUGAGUAAAUUGUCAUUGUGGGCAGGAUCACUCUCUGAAUACGAGUCGACGUCUUUCGUCUCCUUCUGCUCGACGGCCGCAGAUAAUGGCUGUGGCGAUGCACUGCCGUCAGUAGCAUUGUUUUCUUGGUGAGAAGAAGCUGGCGCCUUUUGAGAAGAUUCAGCAUCCCAGAGGUCUUCCUGAACAGGAGCACAAGAUGAAUUCUGGGGGAAAUCAUGAUGCCAAGUGUGCUCUCUUUCGUUGUCGAGGGGCACAGGGGUAGGCGAUAUGUUGGAUGCAGGGAUUGUCACUUCAGUAGUAUUCACCUCUUGUCCGGACGUGGCUUUGGAAUUGGUGGUUGGGUCUGACGGAAGAUCGCUCCUCGUUUUCUUAUUGCCUGAAGGAGAGGACAUAUGAACAUCCGCAUAACUCUCUUGGGGCAGCCGAUGACAGAGUGGCAAUGGUCUAGUUCUUCCCCGCCUAGAGAACAGUAGUGUGGGUUUUCUUGAGAUGGACGAGUUGUGGUUCCUUCUACAAUCUUUUCCCGUGCCGUCGACACAUUCCUUAACAUCUUCCUCGGCGCUAAUCUGCUUCACAU